rnacentral:rRNA from 1 species
CGCUGGCGGCGUGCUUAACACAUGCAAGUCGAGCGGGGGCCAUCUGGUGGCAACACUGGGGAAGCUCUAGCGGCGAACGGGUGAGUAACACGUGAGGAACCUGCCCCAGACUCUGGGAUAACUCGGGGAAACUCGAGCUAAUACUGGAUACCGUCACCGGGGGCAUCUUCUGGUGACGAAAGAAUUUCGGUUUGGGAGGGUCUCGCGGCCUAUCAGCUUGUUGGUGGGGUAAUGGCCUACCAAGGCGACGACGGGUAGCUGGUCUGAGAGGACGAUCAGCCACACUGGGACUGAGACACGGCCCAGACUCCUACGGGAGGCAGCAGUGGGGAAUUUUGGACAAUGGGCGCAAGCCUGAUCCAGCCAUGCCGCGUGAGUGAAGAAGGCCUUCGGGUUGUAAAGCUCUUUCGGCCGGGAAGAAAUCGCACAGGUUAAUACCCUGUGUGGAUGACGGUACCGGAAUAAGAAGCACCGGCUAACUACGUG